rnacentral:tRNA from 1 species
UGGGCCGUAGCCAAGUGGUAAGGCACCAGGUUUUGGUCCUGGGAAUCGCAGGUUCGAAUCCUGCCGGCCCAGCCA